GCUUACAAGUGCUGACAGCACAGCUGCAGAACAAGACUUUCCUGAUUUCACAGAAUAGAUUUCAAGGCUGCUGCAUACAGGGUUGUCCAAUAUACAUUUGAUCCCCUUAUUUACCUAUAGACCGUCUCUGUACCAAACAGUACCUAAUCUUGCUUUAAAAAUCUGUAGAUUUGCUACUACCCCAGCCCUUGCUUGAAGGGAAAUCUUCAAGAACUAGGUCUAUUUACUGGAAAUUUUUGGCAGUCACAGGAUGCACCACACUGCAUUUCUCAUCUGACACGUGGAACUUGUUUGGUACCAUAAUGCAGCAGCUGGAGACACUUUUCUUAGAGCCCACUCCACUGGCCCACACAGGAGCCACAGGACAGGUUAUUUUCAGCUCUGUGGUCUGUCUCUGCAAACAGCACAAGAGGAUGAUACAACCUUUCACUAUCAUUACAUGUGUAUGGCACCCCGAGGGGGAAUGGGAGGUUUUGUAGGAACUCCCAAAGGAACUUCU
rnacentral:lncRNA from 1 species